UUGCUUCAACAGCACAUAUACAAAAAUUGGAACGAUACAGAGAAGAUAAACAUGACCCCUGGGCAAGGAUGACAUGCAAAUUCGUGAAGCAGUUCAUAUUUUA